rnacentral:rRNA from 1 species
GACGAACGCUGGCGGCGUGCUUAACACAUGCGAGUCGAACGGAAAGGCCCUGCUUUUGUGGGGUGCUCGAGUGGCGAACGGGUGAGUAAGACGUGAGUAACCUGCCCUUGACUUUGGGAUAACUUCAGGAAACUGGGGCUAAUACCGGAUAGGAGCUCCUGCUGCAUGGAGGGGGUUGGAAAGUUUCGGCGGUUGGGGAUGGACUCGCGGCUUAUCAGCUUGUUGGUGGGGUGGUGGCUUACCAAGGCUUGGACGGGUAGCCGGCCUGGGAGGGUGAACGGCCACAUUGGGACUGCGGUACGGCCCAGACUCCUACGGUAGGCAGCAGGGGGGAAUAUUGCACAAUGGGCGGAAGCCUGAUGCAGCAACGCCGCGUGCGUGAUGACGGCCUUCGGGUUGUAAACCGCUUUCGCCUGUGACGAAGCGUGAGUGACGGUAAUGGGUAAAGAAGCACCGGCUAACUACGUG